rnacentral:lncRNA from 1 species
GAGCAUCUCUGUUGCCCAUGGGAGCCACCUGGGGGACUCUAGAAAAAUUCUGAUGUAUGGAUCCUACUCCCUGGUUUUAUUGGUCGGCAGUCGUCUGCUGGAUGUAUCCUGGGCUUUAGAGUCUUUACAAAAUUUCUAGGACAUUCUAAGACAAAGCCACCUUUGGGCAGAGAUCACAAUAGACCUCUAUUUGGUAGGGUUGUAAUUUCAAUAACACAUCCAUGCUCAAGCUUUAUGGUAGCCAUGUGUUCAAAAAGUAAAUAAAAGAAACAGUAGACAUUAAUCUAAUUGUAUUAACUCACUGUAUCAAAAGUAUUGCCACUCCAUGUGAUAAAAAUUCAAAGUUUUAAAAAUCAAUAAUUUAAAUCCUCUUUCUCCUACACUGUGGAGCCCAGUGUGCUUUUUUACAGUGACAGCUCAUAGUAGUUGGGACCAAUGACCUCUGAAGCACUCAAUAGUCAUGCAUAGCGUAUGGCUGCAAAACUAAACAGUGAAGGCCUAGCAUAUAGCAGGUGCUCAAUAAAAGCGUUUUGGUGAGAUGAAUAAAAAGGGAAGCCGUUGUGGGUGGUACCUGUAACUAUGCUGCUGAGCAAGGACUGGAGGCACUUAGAAUAGUGAGCGCUCUCUGCCAGCAAUUCUCUGCCCAGAACAAUCUUGCUUAAGACUCAGGCAUCUUAAGCCAACUCUGCACCGAAGCCUUCACAGCCCACCUGCCCACUCUUGUAUUUGCUGUGUUCUUGUUAGCAAUCUUCUUUACACCCUAGGCUUAUUCUGCUACUGUCAUCAUCUGUGUGACAGCUAUCACUCUGCCUGCCCAUCUGUCCGCCCCUGUAAACUGCGCUCACCCUUAGGCUAUAAUCACAUCCCCAUUUAUCUCUGUAUCCCCGAAGACCAGCACAGACGUAUCCAUUGGAAGGUUGUAUAUUGAAAGAAUAAAACAUGGCCUAGUGACGUGAGGCAAAGACUCGCUGCUUAGAGACCAGCUUCGUGAGGCAGAAGAGCCAGGGUGGGUUUUAGGAAGAAGGAAAAGCUGACCCAACUGCAUUUCCUAUGGUCUACCUAUUAACAUGUCUCAGUCAGUUACUGCUACAAAAUGCUUGGUAACAACAAUCUUCUGUAAUCUCACUGCUUUUGAGAAGCAUCUGUUUCGUGUUCAGAGGGCUGUGGCUCACUGCAGCUGGGGUCUGCUGAGUUUGGCUUAGCCUAGUCUCUCUAUACAAUUUUUUUAGUCCGUGGUUCCAGCUGAAGGAGCAUAUUUUUCUUGUGCCUGAUGAUCCUGAUGCAAGAGGAUUUGUGGGAGCAUGGCACAUUCUCCCUGAGUAUUUCACUUGUAGCUUUCUCUGUCUUCCAUCUUGUCAAUUACUGCCUAAUGCUGGUCAUAUAGCUUAGCCCCAAGUGAGGCUGGGAGUGAGCGGGAGGGUAGCAGUAUCCCGCUAAGUGAUUACUCACCCAUGGUGGUACAGUGCGCUUCUCCAGCCAUGAGUGAUAUUCCUGCCUCUGAAAGCCCCCCUCUCCCUUUGCAAGCCCAUGGUGGUGGUACUGGACCUCAAUCCUGUCUUUAUGUAGAAAAAGAAAUGGAUAGGGAUUUCAUUAGGCAGAGCUGCCUUGCUACACUGAUAUAACUUCCACUGUAUCUGACCUUGGCUGCUUUCUUUCCUCCUCUUUUGACUUGGUGAAUUAUUUAGCCCCAAGGAUUCCUAUUCAACUAUUCUUGCUCUCCAUGGAGACAGCUAGGAACUGUAAGUCUCUGAAAUACAAGGGCAGUAUCUACAUUUAGAUAUGAGGAUACGUAGGUAGUGGCUCUAUGUUUCCAUAUCAAGGAGAGGAUUUGGCCUUGUCAGCCUCUGUCGUGGCUCCUGGGAUGGCCUUUUCAGCUGUGCACCUGUUGUUGAGUUGUCUCCCUGGAAAGCUGUCUAAGCGUAGAUGCUCACUCAUUUAUGGUCUCAGUUCCCCCGGGCCAGCAGUCAGAGGGUAGAAGACCUCUUGGCAUAUUGCAGCUGCAGAACAGGUUCAACAAGGGACAGGCAGUGGGCGAGUUGGGAAUGGAAAGGGGUUUGCAGCAGUGCUGGUUCUCCCAAGCAUCUGGACCUUCCUAGUUCAUUGCUGUUCAGGAGACCUUGGCAGAGCCUACUAUUGAGCUCAGACCAGGGCCCUCGGGGUCAUUUCCAGAGGAACCUGCUUGGAGCCAUUCUGUUUGAGUAAAGAUGUGGCUUCUACUGGAGCAGAACAGAACUCCUGGCCUGGUUCCCUUCUUUCCUGUAGCCUGCAGCCCUCUGUAGUCCCUGGCUGUGAAUAACUGAGUUUUACCCCAAUCAGCCUAAUUCAGUACUCCCUCCAGGCUUUGUCUGGUCAGCUAUGUCUGCUUGUAGGGUCUUCAUCCCCGAGCCUAGUGUCAAGGGGUUAGGGGCACAGGUCUCCUUUCACCUUGGUUGGGAUCUCUUCGAAAGCAGGAGGUUUGAACCUAGUUUGAACCUCUGAGGGCUCAAGUUCCUUUUCUCUUGGCACAAUAUCAUUUCCUGUUUCG